CAUUCAUCCUGAAACUUGCUAAUUAGCACAUUAUUAGGAAAGGCGAUUUGCAAAGAUUCAUUUAAAAAACCUUGUACUAACUUCUUCUGGAGGUGAAGCUGGAUCACGAAUGAAUCGCGCGAACAUAGACGCAUUUAGGUAGCCUGACUAAGUCAGACUUCGUACUUCAGCUCAAUUUCAGUUCGCUUCUGUACUCAGUCUGAUAUAGCAGACCAUCUCUCAGUUUAUCUCCGGCUCCACAGCAGCCGGCCAACCAACGAACAGAGCCGUGAUGUAGACGCUAAGCGCUGAAUUUAAGAUUGUAGUUUAGGUUUAGGUGAGGGAAAUCUAACACGACAGCGGACAUGGAGACACGGCUUUUGUUCCAGACACCUGUUUGUAUGUGAAUGGAGCAGACAUGGGUAUAUAACGAGGAUGACUGACAGAUGGAAUUACCUUUGAAAGAAUAUCAAGCUGGACUUCUUCGACUGGAUAUUUCACAUCAAAAGUCCAGAUGAGUUUAUAGUGCAUUUCUUAAGACGUGCGGAUACUUUUCAUUACAAAAGGAUAUUGUCAAGGGGCUGAAUGAAGUGCAGAUCCACUAACUUUUGGAAGUCCCAUCCGUCUCACGGUCAAUCCAAAAGAUACACCGAAAAUCCCUCCGAUUCUGUCCAUCUUGUCCCCUUUAAAGGGCAGUGGACCAGAUAUUUGUCUGGCCGCCGGGUUCUAUCCUGGAGAAAAGACUAUGACUUUGACUUUGGAAGAUAAACAACUUGUAAAU